rnacentral:rRNA from 1 species
CCUACGGGAGGCAGCAGUGGGGAAUAUUGGACAAUGGGCGAAAGCCUGAUCCAGCAAUGCCGCGUGAGUGAUGAAGGCCUUAGGGUCGUAAAGCUCUUUUACCAGGGAUGAUAAUGACAGUACCUGGAGAAUAAGCUCCGGCUAACUCCGUGCCAGCAGCCGCGGUAAUACGGAGGGAGCUAGCGUUGUUCGGAAUUACUGGGCGUAAAGCGUGCGUAGGCGGUUAUUCAAGUCAGAGGUGAAAGCCCGGGGCUCAACCCCGGAACGGCCUUUGAAACUAGAUAACUAGAAUCUUGGAGAGGUCAGUGGAAUUCCGAGUGUAGAGGUGAAAUUCGUAGAUAUUCGGAAGAACACCAGUGGCGAAGGCGACUGACUGGACAAGUAUUGACGCUGAGGUACGAAAGCGUGGGGAGCAAACAGGAUUAGAUACCCUGGUAGUCCACGCCGUAAACGAUGAUAACUAGCUGUCCGGACACUUGGUGUUUGGGUGGCGCAGCUAACGCAUUAAGUUAUCCGCCUGGGGAGUACGGUCGCAAGNUUAAAACUUAAAGGAAUUGACGG